rnacentral:tRNA from 1 species
CAGGACGUAGCUCAGGCAGUAAAGCAUUUCUCUUACACUGAAAAGACACCCGUGCAAUUCCGGUCGCCCUGA